rnacentral:rRNA from 1 species
GAUAAAAGGUACUCCGGGGAUAACAGGCUGAUACCGCCCAAGAGUUCAUAUCGACGGCGGUGUUUGGCACCUCGAUGUCGGCUCAUCACAUCCUGGGGCUGAAGUAGGUCCCAAGGGUAUGGCUGUUCGCCAUUUAAAGUGGUACGCGAGCUGGGUUUAGAACGUCGUGAGACAGUUCGGUCCCUAUCUGCCGUGGGCGCUGGAGAACUGAGGGGGGCUGCUCCUAGUACGAGAGGACCGGAGUGGACGCAUCACUGGUGUUCGGGUUGUCAUGCCAAUGGCACUGCCCGGUAGCUAAAUGCGGAAGAGAUAAGUGCUGAAAGCAUCUAAGCACGAAACUUGCCCCGAGAUGAGUUCUCCCUGAGACUUAGAGUCUCCUGAAGGAACGUUGAAGACGACGACGUUGAUAGGCCGGGUGUGUAAGCGCAGCGAUGCGUUGAGCUAACCGGUACUAAUGAACCGUGAGGCUUAACCUUAC